rnacentral:lncRNA from 1 species
GCCAAACAAAAAAGGUUUUUUCAGCAUUAUCUGUUUAAAUUUUUCAACAUAUUUAUAAGCCAUUUGUUUUUCUUUUUUAAUUUUCUGUUCAAGUUCUUUACCCAUUUUAAACAUUUUUUGAUAUAUAUCUUUUUUCCAUUAAUUGAUAAGAAUUGUUUAAACAGGAAAAAUCAACAUUUUGUCACAUAUGCUACAAAUAUUUUUCAUGUGACUGAAGACUUUAAUUAUUUUACAAGUAUUAGGGGAAAUAAAGCAAGACAGAGACUUCCCUGAAGAACUCACACAUAUGCUUCAAAAGAAAGCCAGUGUUUUUGUUGCCAAUCAGUGUUGGCCUGAGGAGUAGCAGCAACCAAGGUGGGAAGUCCAUUUGCACAUGAGCUAACCUGCCAUCUUUUCUAUCAAAUCCAACCACAGACAAGGCAAGAACUUCGAGAGGUGAGAGGAAAUAAAAGAAAUGGUUUCACCCCUUGCUCUGAGGUGCUGGUGGGAAGAGAAUGUGAAGCCUCCUGCAGGAACAUGGAAGAUGGGUCCUGCGACAAGGAGGGAGAAAGGCUAUCAGGGUUAUCUCUGUCAACACCAGUGAUUUUAGAGAGAAUGACAAAUAUAGAAGAUGUGGAAGACAAGUACUGGACAUGUCCUGAUCAAGACAAAUAUUGAAAGGUGAUUUUUAAAAUAUAGCUCCCUAGUAGCAGCUUUGUUGAUCUGACUCUUUCUCAUAAAAGCCAGUUACAUUUUUAAUUUCCUACUCAUUAGAAAUUCCAACUAUAUAAAGCCUAUGUCUUAUUACAGAAAACUAAAAAUGCUUAAGCCUGCACUAUUUUAAUUCCAUUUUACUGGUAGGAUUUUGUAAUAAGUUAAAACAAGUAUAAUUAGGAGUUCCCAUUGCAGCUUAGUGGGUUAAGAACCUGAUCUUGUCUCUCUGAGGAUGUGGGUCCAAUUCCUGGUCUCGCUCAGUGGGUUAAGGAUUCGGCAUUUCUGUGAGCUCUCACGUAGGUCACAGCUGCAGCUCAGAUCUGGUGUUGCUGUGGUUGUGGUGUAGGCCAGCAACUGCAGCUCCAAUUCAACCCCCAGCCAGGGAACUUCCAUAUACCACAAGUUUGGCCAUAAAAAGAAAAAAAAAAACAAGCAAAAAACAAGUUUAAUUAAUCAAGCAGUGUCUAUAAAGAUGCCUAAAUUUAAACAGUAUUUGACCAUAGAUAUUUCUCAGGCUAUAACAUAAAAGCUAUACUAUAGCGGAAAGGGGGGGUUAAUGAAACAGCCAAUUUCUUCAAAGAAAAUAUAUCAAAUAGAAAAUAUGAUACAAUAAAGUUAUGUGGCAUCUAGACCAUGUCUAGCUAGAAUUUUUAGUACCCAGGAC